GACGAACGCUGGCGGCGUGCCUAAUACAUGCAAGUUGAGCGCUGAAGGUUGGUACUUGUACCGACUGGAUGAGCAGCGAACGGGUGAGUAACGCGUGGGGAAUCUGCCUUUGAGCGGGGGACAACAUUUGGAAACGAAUGCUAAUACCGCAUAAAAACUUUAAACACAAGUUUUAAGUUUGAAAGAUGCAAUUGCAUCACUCAAAGAUGAUCCCGCGUUGUAUUAGCUAGUUGGUGAGGUAAAGGCUCACCAAGGCGAUGAUACAUGGCCGACCUGAGAGGGUGAUCGGCCACAUUGGGACUGAGACACGGCCCAAACUCCUACGGGAGGCAGCAGUAGGGAAUCUUCGGCAAUGGACGAAAGUCUGACCGAGCAACGCCGCGUGAGUGAAGAAGGUUUUCGGAUCGUAAAACUCUGUUGGUAGAGAAGAACGUUGGUGAGAGUGGAAAGCUCAUCAAGUGACGGUAACUACCCAGAAAGGGACGGCUAACUACGUG
rnacentral:rRNA from 1 species